UACGGAGGGUGCAAGCGUUAUCCGGAUUUACUGGGUUUAAAGGGUGCGUAGGCGGGCAGGUAAGUCCGUGGUGAAAUCCCCCGAGCUUAACUCGGGAACUGCCCAUGGAUACUAUUUGUCUUGAAUAUUGUGGAGGUAAGCCGGAAUAUGUCAUGUAGCGGUGAAAUGCUUAGAUAUGACAUAGAACACCAAUUGCGAAGGCAGCUUACUACACAGUUAUUGACGCUGAGGCACGAAAGCGUGGGGAUCAAACAGG
rnacentral:rRNA from 1 species